UCUUUAUUAUUCAAAAUUAUUAAUUGUCCUAUAUACUUUAGCCAUAUUAGGCAAUUCCGUAAUCUUAUUUAAGGAAAUAAUGAAGCACAUUAAUCAUGUAUUUAUUGUGUUUAAUAAAAAGCUUAUUAUACAUUUAGAUGGACCAACUUAUUUCUCUAAAAAUUCUAAGAAUCAUUCUAGUGAUGACAUGUGGCUACAAAAAAUAUUGCAAUGUUUCUAAAAAUAUGGCUAACUAACAAAAAAGGGAAAAUAAGAAUAAAUGCACCAGCCGGGAAUCAAACCCGGGUCUGUACCGUGGCAGGGUACUAUUCUACCACUAGACCACUGGUGCUUAACGAUAUGCGGGGUUGAUAAUAAGAUAUUAUCAAAAUUUGUACUUACUGACGUACGUUUACAUUGUUAACAUCACUGAAUUUUUUCGGUAUCAUUAAGGUGUUACUGUUAGGUUAGUAAACUCAUGCCAAAGUGGGUCGGCGAGCUCCAUUGUGAAACGUAGGAAUGUGUAAGGUAAUGAUGAUCUAUCUUGACUAAUUCAACUAAACACUUUAUUCUAUUUUUCGUCUGCAAUCAAUUACGUACUUGGUGCUUUGUUUUGGUUAUAUAAGUUUAACAUGUGUUUCUUAUGAUCCAUUUGCUUUCUACUCUUUCUGUUUUCGUCAUGCAUUGCACAAGACUGCUCGGUGGAAAAAGUUUAGUAGUUUUUGUCAAUCAACUAUCUUUUUUUUUUUUUUGAAAAAGUUGUCACAUUGUUCUGCUCACCACAGCUGCGGAUACGUUCGCAUGAAAACCUGGGAGAGGUUUUGUCGUAGGCUACACCUCCCAACCGAGGAUUAAAUUUGUGUUUUUAAUAGAUCCAGAUUUAACCCCCUUGUCAAUCUACUAUCGUGUGGAAAUCAUAUCUUUCCUCCUCUAUUUCUCUCUCAAACAUCAAAUUCAACACAAGAAUAGAAAUGAAGACUUUUAAGAGUAUAACUGGACAGGAAAACGGCUUGUCAAUGAAAGAAUAGCAGAAUCUCUAAGGCAAAUUAUAAAUUCUAUUAAAAAAAUUCAAGCACGAUCACCAUGUGCUAUUUAUUCUUCGCUUUGGACAAAACGGUAUCUAUUCUUGAUAGUGACCUUAACAAGGCUUCUUGCUAAAGCAUGCAUGCACAGUCCACAAUAUGAAUUUUGAGUUUUCCUUUGCAGAGUAAUCUUUUCAGUGGUCCUCUUGCCAGAGCAUAAUCACAUUUGUUGUGUGUAUGACUAGAGUCGGUUUUGGACAACGCGUGAUAAACAUUUGUACAAAUUUUAAAGAAUUCUUAUAUAUAUUACAUAGUUUCCAAAUUAUAAUUUGUAUUAAUAUUUAUCUUUUUAUGGAUCUCUUCCCCUAAUUUUAUGACUGGCCCUGUGUAUAAAUGUAUAUAGUGAAAAUGUAUGUAUAUAUAUAUAUAUAUAUAUAUGUUGCACAAAAAAACAAAAAAAAAUAUAUAUAUGGUGCUGAUAAAAAGACCUGAGAUUCAGUUAGCUUAAACUGACAGUUUAAUUCUUGGAAACCACUCAUGACUGAUUAUUCCCUCUUAUUUAUAUCACUGGCUAUCCCUACAAAAUUUAGCUUAAAAGCUCUGCGCUAUGAACUAUAUUAAUGAACAAGGAAAAUAAGAAAUAUGAUCAAUUGUUUACAGAGUAUGGCUCACCCUAAACGAAGCAUUGUGUAACUUCACUUCUUUGGUUCCAUAGUAUUUUGUAGACACUGCUUAUGAGCAUAUAUUAGAAAAAUAUAGCUAGUUAGAGCACCUCUAAAAAUGAAUAUGUGUGUAUGUAUAUAUUGUAUAUAUGUAUGUAGUUGUGGAGUCUACUAAAUAGUGUAGAACUCCUACCCAAAAGUUCUAAAAACAAAAUUUUUUUUUUCUUUUUAACUUUUUUUCUUUUAUUUAUAUAACAAAUGACUACAAAAAAAGGCUCAAGCCUAUUGUUAGGACAAAAGCCUACUACCAAAAUUUAAAACUCAACCUCAAAAAAUUACUCUAUACAACUUCUAAAAGACUGCAAACCAAGCUGAGAGCACUGAGAUCUCUCCUUGUUUCAGAACUUGAGCUCGAACCAAAGGAUCAAGGCGUAAUCUAUCAUUUGCUUAAUCUCAUCAAUCAGCGCCCCCGGUUGUCGAGUAUUUCCAGAGUGUAUUUCGAGUUUCUUUCCCUCCAAAUCAGAUAUAGACAAGCUUGGUAAAGCAGCUUCACUAUCAACUUCACAUUUUUGUCUUUAGAUGGAUUCUUCAGCCAGCGCAACCCACUCUCGAAUUGUGCUGGAGGAGAAAGGCGUAAUCUAUCGACAAAGUGAGACCACACAUGCCUGCUGAAAGCACAAUCAAAAAAGAGAUGCUGCCUAUUCUUUCCUGUUAAAAACAAAACUUUUAGAACUUUUGGGUAAGAGUUCUACACUAUUUAGUAGAUCCCACAACUAUAUACACAUAUAUAAUACAUACAUAUUUAUUUUUAGAACUCCAAUGGAUAAAAGAUAUAUUCUCUGAUGUGUCUAAACUUCGAUUCAACCACUAAGAAGGGUAAUGGAAUGGGAUAAAAAAAAUCAUUUAUUCAAUGUUCUUAUAUUUUAUUUUCAGUUAAUCGAAAAUGAACUAUUUUACUAUACUCCAGGUAAAGUUAAUUAAAUGUGUCAAAAAAAGGAAUUAUACAAAUAAAUUCUAAUAUUAUUUUAAUUGGAAGCUAAAGAGGCAAUAAUCCACGAUCUCCUAUAACCUUGCUGCCUCCACUUAGUUUUUUUUUGUUGGAAUUGCUUAUAGUCAUAGAUAAUGAGAAGCAGCCAAUGGUGGUAACAGCACUAUGUGAAAAGGUAAUCCACUUUCCUCAACCACAACCUCAGAUUUCCAUUAAUUUUCAUAUAUGAUAAGAGUUGACUCUUAAUUCAAACAAUAAUUAUUCUUAAUUGCUAUUGGAUCCUUACUUAAAUAUUCAAAUUUAGGAAUGAUGUAUUUGGUUUUGGUAGCAUAUCCAUUAAAGAUUUACAACUUUCUCCUGGCAAUGAUCACCAAUAAGCAACAGCCACUUAAAACUCAUUAAUUAAACGCUUAAAACUUGAAUCUAGUAACUCCCUAACCACAUAUCUAUCUGAGGAUUUCUAGAAAAGCUAUAUGGAUCACUCUAGAAGUAGAGGAUAAUGAAUGUCAUUAAAUUAGAUGGGGGUUACAGUAUUAAGCAUAAUUGACCCACUAAUUAAGCCCCUAAUUAAUUAACAUGUGAUUAUUACUGUUACAGUUGGAGCUAUAUGAUUAUGCUUAAGUGUGUCUCUUCUUUUUCAUCCUUUAUCGUGAGUGAUUAUAGAUUUAUAGUAGUAAUAGUGUAGAAUACUGAUCGUAUAACGUCAUGAGUUUGGAUCGUGGUUACAGUAUAAGCAUAAUUAAUCCCCUAAUUAAUUAACAUGUGAUGGUUACUGUUACUGUUGAAGUUAUAUGAUUAUGCUUAAGUGUGCCUGCCUCUUCCUUUUUUCCUUUCUCGCAAGUGAUUAUUGACUUAAAGUAGUACUAGAGUACAAUACUGAUCGUGUAAUGUGGUGGUAGUGGUUAACAACACCAUUAAUAGAUGAGAUGAUAGUGAUAAAAAAUAAUUUUCAAAUAUGGCGGCAAAUUUUUUUUGUCAUUGUUGAAUUUUAGGUAUGGUCUUAAGAAGAUACGUAAGGGAACUCAGAAAUGAUGAUACAUCAAUUGGUAAUCCUACCUAUUUUGGAUAAUAUCUACCUAACUAAGGAUUUUUUUUUACUCAAUCAUGGAGUUGAGAUUGGUUUUGAAGUAACUAAAGAAUGAAAAUUGUGAUUUUAGGAAGUUUAUAUAGUUUUACUGGUCAUGUUUGUCCUCCAAUGAGACUUCAGAAACUAGUGGUAACGCUGCUUAAGAGAAAAUUAGUCAAAUUAAAAAGGUUGUUAUAUUAUUGUAUUGACAUUAAUAAUAAAAAUCUCCAGGAGUUUACAAGGGGUUUGUUUCUCUUUGUAGAUAUAAGGAUCAGAUCCUAGAGGCUACAAGGGGUUUCUCCAGAAUCUUCUGGACCAAAGUUUUGGUAAUUUGGAAUCAUGUGAAUGAGAAGUUUUGUGUGAUGAUUUUAAGUGUUAACUCUCUACUCUUAGAAGUCCAUGUCUUGGUGGUAGCCAAGAGGGAAUCUACACCAAAGGCAUCAAAUCUAUAUGAUAUAUAUAUUCUUCAGGAUCCAUAAGAUUUUCGUAUUGUUAAGCUUCUUCUUAGGUAGGACUAAGAGCACUUCCAUGAAGAUAGAUAUUUAACAAUAAUUUAAUUUAAAAAGGAAAAGAAAUAUAAAGAGUGAUGUCUCAAAUGAGAUAACAUUAGAACUCUAUCUCAUAUUUAAUUUAUAAAUGAUAUUUUGUCAUUGGUUUUUCUCUUUUAAAAAUUACAAUAAUGAAUUUUUCUUAAAUCUAUAUAAAGAAAUUGACAGCCUCUUAUGAAUUCUUUUAUCUGGCGAGUUUGCUUAAAGACCUGAUUAGGAGUUAUAACUUUAAAUCUUUUAAUAUAGAACUCAGCAUGUAAAUUUUGAUGAGAAAAAGACCAAAAUAGCACUAAAUCAAGUUUUUGUUCCCAAACUAGCACUCAAUGCCAAAAGUCACAAAAAUAGCACUCAAGGGGUGGGGUUUAGGGUUUAGAAUUUAUUUAAAGUUUAGAGUUUAGGUUUUAGGGUUUAGAGUUGAGAAGUGAGGUUUUGGGAUAAGAUUUCAAAUUUUGAAAAAUAAAAAAAUUUAAAUUUUUCAAAAGAUAAAAUGCUAUUUUGGUCAUUUUAGUUUUUGAGUGCUAUUUUUGUGAUAUAAACUUAGAAAUGUGCUAUUUUGGAGAUUUGCCCAAUUUUGAUUGUGAGUGAAGUUAUUUUUGGUUGUAUAUUUGAGAAUAAUUAACGAUUUAUUUAUAAAAUUUCUAAAACUUAGUUAUGUUACUUGUAUAGACAUAUUUUUUUGUAGCCCUAGAAAUGUUUUAUAGAACAUGAUUGGAAAAUAUUUGUAUUUUAGAGGAAAAAAACUGGUUGUAGAGAGACGGUAAAACACUUUUAAAGUAUUUAUUAAUCAAGCCCUGAAACUUUAGUUUUUGUCACUUUUGGUUGUUUGGCUUUUUAACUCAAAGUUGUUGAACAAAAAUCAGAAAUGGUCAUCAAAAUCUCUAGUGUUCCAAAAAAAGUCAUCCAAUCUCUGUAGGGUUUUAUCGGACGUCUAUUAUCCAAGAAAUUCAAUGUUAGAGGUUAGAGAUACUUCAAAUACUGAAGUUCUAAUCAAAGGUUGUUUAGCCAUGUUAAGGAUUGUUAAUUGUGCACUUGCUGUUGUUUUAAUCUCGGGAUGCAUAUCACUGUUUGUGGUCUUUAAUUCCCAAGGCUUCGUUUUACUUUUCAGCUCGAUGGUCGUUGAGUUUAGAGGACUUUUUUACGUCAUUGGUUGUUUAAGCGUGGUGUUUGUCUCUAUCUUUAUUUGUUGUAUUUGCUUUCUUGUAAUAGUUGUUUCUUUGGCCAUGAUGGCUAUGUUAUCAUGUUCUGUGAA